GAUGCCGCGUGGAGGAAGAAGGUUUUCGGAUUGUAAACUCCUUUUAUCAGGGACGAUAAUGACGGUACCUGAAGAAAAAGCUCCGGCUAACUACGUGCCAGCAGCCGCGGUAAUACGUAGGGAGCGAGCGUUGUCCGGAAUUACUGGGUGUAAAGGGAGCGUAGGCGGGAUAGCAAGUCAGAUGUGAAAACUAUGGGCUCAACCUGUAGAUUGCAUUUGAAACUGUUGUUCUUGAGUGAAGUAGAGGUAAGCGGAAUUCCUAGUGUAGCGGUGAAAUGCGUAGAUAUUAGGAGG
rnacentral:rRNA from 1 species